AUUGAACGCUGGCGGCAGGCCUAACACAUGCAAGUCGAGCGGAUGAGUGGAGCUUGCUCCAUGAUUCAGCGGCGGACGGGUGAGUAAUGCCUAGGAAUCUGCCUGGUAGUGGGGGACGACGUUUCGCAAGGAACGCUAAUACCGCAUACGUCCUACGGGAGAAAGUGGGGGAUCUUCGGAUCUCACGCUAUCAGAUGCGCCUAGGUCGGAUUAGCUAGUUGGUGAGGUAAAGGCUCACCAAGGCGACGAUCCGUAACUGGUCUGAGAGGAUGAUCAGUCACACUGGAACUGAGACACGGUCCAGACUCCUACGGGAGGCAGCAGUGGGGAAUAUUGGACAAUGUGCGAAAGCCUGAUCCAGCCAUGCCGCGUGUGUGAAGAAGGUCUUCGGAUUGUAAAGCACUUUAAGUUGGGAGGAAGGGCAGUAAGUUAAUACCUUGCUGUUUUGACGUUACCAACAGAAUAAGCACCGGCUAACUUCGUGCCAGCAGCCGCAGUAACAC
rnacentral:rRNA from 1 species